UACGUAGGUGGCGAGCGUUGUCCGGAUUUACUGGGCGUAAAGAGCGCGCAGGCGGUCAAGUAAGUCGCAUGUGAAAGCCCCCGGCUCAACUGGGGAGGGUCAUUCGAUACUGCUCGACUCGAAGGCAGGAGAGGGAAGUGGAAUUCCCGGUGUAGUGGUGAAAUGCGUAGAUAUCGGGAGGAACACCAGUGGCGAAGGCGACUUUCUGGCCUGUUCUUGACGCUGAGGCGCGAAAGCUAGGGGAGCAAACGGG
rnacentral:rRNA from 1 species